GACGAACGCUGGCGGCGUGCCUAAUACAUGCAAGUAGAACGCUGAAGGAGGAGCUUGCUUCUCCGGAUGAGUUGCGAACGGGUGAGUAACGCGUAGGUAACCUGCCUGGUAGCGGGGGAUAACUAUUGGAAACGAUAGCUAAUACCGCAUAAGAGUAGAUGUUGCAUGACAUUUGCUUAAAAGGUGCAAUUGCAUCACUACCAGAUGGACCUGCGUUGUAUUAGCUAGUUGGUGGGGUAACGGCUCACCAAGGCGACGAUACAUAGCCGACCUGAGAGGGUGAUCGGCCACACUGGGACUGAGACACGGCCCAGACUCCUACGGGAGGCAGCAGUAGGGAAUCUUCGGCAAUGGGGGGAACCCUGACCGAGCAACGCCGCGUGAGUGAAGAAGGUUUUCGGAUCGUAAAGCUCUGUUGUAAGAGAAGAACGGGUGUGAGAGUGGAAAGUUCAC
rnacentral:rRNA from 1 species